GACGUUAUAAGAUUUUUUUCUACGUCCGAGGUUUGGCUUCGUAAGCCCCGCUUCUAAUGGUCUCGCUUUCGAGACACGUUUGAACCCCUUUGACCUCAAAUCGGGUGAGACUACCCGCUGAACUUAAGCAUAUCAAUAAGCGGAGGAAAAGAACUAACAAGGAUUCCCCCUAGUAACUGCGAGUGAAGCGGGAAAAGCUCAAAUUUAAAAUCUGAUGGUCUUUGGCCGUCCGAGUUGUAAUUUAGAGAAGUGCCUUCCGCGCCAGACCAUGCAAAAGUCUCCUGGAAUGGAGCGUCAUAGAGGGUGAGAAUCCCGUCUUUGGCAUGGAUGCUUGGUGCUUCUGUGAUGCGCUCUCGAAGAGUCGAGUUGUUUGGGAAUGCAGCUCAAAAUGGGUGGUGAACUCCAUCUAAAGCUAAAUAUUGGCGAGAGACCGAUAGCGAACAAGUACCGUGAGGGAAAGAUGAAAAGCACUUUGGAAAGAGAGUGAAACAGUACGUGAAAUUGUUGAAAGGGAAACGCUUGAAGUCAGUCGCGUCGGCUAAGACUCAGCCUUGCCUCGGCUUGGUGUUCUUCUUGGUUGACGGGCCAGCAUCAAUUUUGUCCCUUGGAUAAUGGCGAGGGAAAGGUGGCACCCUUACGGGUGUGUUAUAGUCUCUUGUCGCAUGCGAGGGGUGGGAUUGAGGAACUCAGCACGCGCCUUUAGGUGUCGGGGCUUCGGCUCACGUUACGUGCUUAGGAUGUUGGCGUAAUGGCUUUAAACGACCCGUCUG
rnacentral:rRNA from 1 species